GCAGAUGAGACAUCUAGACGAGCAUCUACCCUUGUGAGGUCUCCAAAGGACUCUUUGAAUUUACCAUGUUGAAAAGUACAGCAAAGUGAACCAAAUAGAUCAACAGCAAAGGGACUUCUAUGCUUCGAAGCCGAGGAACUGUUGCUACCAUUGUUGAGCCAAGCCUCAAGAGUUCCCCCAAUAAUUCCAGAUACUGCUGCAUGAGGCUCUCUAAGACGAAUAUCAUAAGAAGGGCGAUAAAUCCGUCCCUUAUCUGUUUCAAUAAUGAUGUCCUCUUUUUUUUCCUUGAUUCUCCAGAAAUCUCUGCUCUUUUCAUAAGAAACGGCUGCUUUUCCACAUAUUCCUUGCAUCAGACUGAGUGGUGGCUCGUCAGUAAUGUUAUCAACAGCCCGAGGAUGGCCACCAUUUUUAUGUAAACCAAAUCGGUAUCGCAAUCCAUCCUCGGAAACCAGCGAUAAACAGUCCAACGAUAUUGACUCUGGGACCUCCCAAUAUCUACCUUUAUGGUCUAAGAAUAGCUCAGGCCAUGCUGCUUCCAAAGUAAUG
rnacentral:misc_RNA from 1 species